UGACGCUGGCGGUAUGCUUAACACAUGCAAGUCGAACGGAAACGAUAGAAGCUUGCUUCUAGGCGUCGAGUGGCGGACGGGUGCGUAACGCGUGGGAAUUUACCUUUUAGUGGGGGAUAGCCCGGUGAAAACCGGAUUAAUACCGCAUACUACUCUACGGAGGAAAAGGGGCCUCUCCUUGGAAGCUCUUGCUAUUAGAUGAGCCCGCGUAAGAUUAGCUAGUUGGUUGAGGUAAUGGCUCACCAAGGCAACGAUCUUUAGCUGGUUUGAGAGGAUGAUCAGCCACACUGGGACUGAGACACGGCCCAGACUCCUACGGGAGGCAGCAGUGGGGAAUAUUGGACAAUGGGCGCAAGCCUGAUCCAGCAAUACCGCGUGUGUGAAGAAGGCCUGAGGGUUGUAAAGCACUUUCAAUAGGGACUAAAUGUUCGUAGUUAAUAACUGCGGAUCUUGAAUUAACCUAUAGAAGAAGGACCGGCUAACUCCGUGCCAGCAGCCGCGGUAAUACGGAGGGUCCGAGCGUUAAUCGGAAUUACUGGGCGUAAAGCGCGCGUAGGCGGUUUAUUAAGUCGGAUGUGAAAGCCCUGGGCUCAACCUGGGAACUGCAUUCGAUACUGGUAAACUAGAGUAUAGUAGAGGUAAGUGGAAUUCCAUGUGUAGCGGUGAAAUGCGUAGAUAUGUGGAGGAACAUCAGUGGCGAASGCGACUUACUGGACUAAUACUGACGCUGAGGUGCGAAAGCGUGGGGAGCAAACGGGAUUAGAUACCCCGGUAGUCCACGCCGUAAACGAUGUCAACUAGCCGUUGGGAGCAUUUGAGCUUUUAGUGGCGCAGCUAACGCAUUAAGUUGACCGCCUGGGGAGUACGCACGCAAG
rnacentral:rRNA from 1 species